UUGGAGGGCAAGUCUGGUGCCAGCAGCCGCGGUAAUUCCAGCUCCAAUAGCGUAUAUUAAAGUUGUUGCAGUUAAAAAGCUCGUAGUUGAAUUUCGGGGUUAGUAGGUUGGUCAUGCCUCUGGUAUGUACUGGUCUCACUGAUUCCUCCUUCCUUAUGAACCGUAAUGCCAUUAAUUUGGUGUUGCGGGGAAUUUGGACUGUUACUUUGAAAAAAUUAGAGUGCUUAAAGCAAGCUAACGCUUGAAUACAUUAGCAUGGAAUAAUGAAAUAGG
rnacentral:rRNA from 1 species